rnacentral:rRNA from 1 species
AUGGCAACACAUCAUUGGAUCAUAAUAUGUGGCAUAAAGCACCAUGUUCAAUUAGGGGAUUAUAGCAGGGUGCGGGAGAGUAGACAGCGUAAAAGAGAUGAGGAUGGUGAUGAUGAUGGUUAUGUUGAUGAAGACGAACACCGAGGCGAUGAUUCCCCUCCCGAUGGCACUCCGGCGCCACCGGAAGAGAGGAGGAGAGGUUCUCCCCCUUGUGCUUCUUCCUCCAUGGCCUCCACCUUCUGGUCCUUGGCCUUCAUGGUGAUGAAUACCCCUCCGGGAUACUCCUCCAUGGCCACCGGUGAUGAUGGCCCCCUCCGGCAGGGUGCCGGAGAGGGCCCCGAUUGGUUUUUCGUGGCUACAGAGGCUUGUGGCGGUGGAACUUCUGAUCUAAUCUCCGUUCUGAAAGUUUUAGGGUACGAGAGUAUAUAUGGGUGCAGGGGGUAUGUCGGAGGAGCUACGGGGGCCCCACGAGGCAGGGGACGCGCCCGGGGGGGUGGGCGCGCCCCCCACCCUCGUGGGCAGCCCGUAUCUCCCUUGACAUGCACUCCAAGUUCCCUGGGUUGCUUUCCUUCCAAAAAUAACUUCUCCUGUUGA